AUCAAUUUCUGCAGCAGGGAAGACUUCUAUGGCAUUCACAAAAGCAAAAGAUGGAUCAUAGGAUGGCUUUAAGGAGAUACUGAAUUCUCUUGCGUUGAUGGUGAGCAAAAAUUCCUCAAUCACGGGGAAUUAAUUUGGGAGAUGCUACAAUUGGAUAAUACUAAAAACCCAGCAGCCCAGACAUCGAAUAAAGCAUUACGCAGAUUAGCCGGCGAUGAGAAAACGAAGAAAUGAAGUCGUACGAGCUAGAGUUGAGCGAAGAAGAAGAAGAAGAAGAAGAAGAAUUUGCAGCCAUGGAAGAAGAAUUUCCAUUGAUCUGAAUUUUUGGGUAAGCGCUAAUGCCUCUCCAAAGCUUGAGGUUUGGAUUUCUACAUCUGUUGGAUCACUGUUGGAAGAUGCCUCAUUUGCUGUAAAAAAAUAUGCCUUAGACCAAGUCCUGGAAAAUCAAAUAUAAGAUUUUUAGGAAUUAUUUAUGUUUUUCAAUUCAAAAUUGUAGCAUGUUUAUCUUCUUUUUUCAUACAUUUUCGAUUAAGCUUUUAUGUACAAAUACAUGCUUUCAUGAAUGAAAUAAUGAGACUUUACCCUCUCUCAA